rnacentral:rRNA from 1 species
UACGGGGGGGGCAAGCGUUGUUCGGAAUUACUGGGCGUAAAGGGCGCGUAGGCGGCCUUCUAAGUCGAACGUGAAAUCCCCGGGCUCAACCCGGGAACUGCGUCCGAUACUGGAAGGCUUGAAUCCGGGAGAGGGAUGUGGAAUUCCCGGUGUAGCGGUGAAAUGUGUAGAGAUCGGGAGGAACACCGGUGGCGAAGGCGGGACUCUGGGCCUACCCUGACGCUGAGGCGCGAAGGCGUGGGGAGCAAACGGG